rnacentral:rRNA from 1 species
AGCGUAGACGGACUGGCAAGUCUGAUGUGAAAGGCGGGGGCUCAACCCCUGGACUGCAUUGGAAACUGUUAGUCUUGAGUGCCGGAGAGGUAAGCGGAAUUCCUAGUGUAGCGGUGAAAUGCGUAGAUAUUAGGAGGAACACCAGUGGCGAAGGCGGCUUACUGGACUGUAACUGACGCUGAGGCGCGAAAGUGUGGGGAGCAAACA